CUGCUACUGCUGCUGCUGGUGCCUCCAGAGUUCAGACUUCCAAAGUUCCAGACUUCCAGUUCCAGUGCUGGUACAGUGCUUUAGUCUGUUUCAGUUUUCAGUCUUCGGCCUUCAGUCUUUCAGUCGAUUAGUGUAGUAAGAUGGAUGCUAUAAAACUAUGAGAUCUGUAUGACUUGUAAUUCUUUAUAUUAAUAAAUUAAAAAAUCUAAAUCCAGCAAUAACAAUCAUCGACAACAAUCAAUAAAUCACCAUAAACAAUUGUUUUAUUAAAACAAAGUGUAUUAUAUGAGUUUUUAGUGAUUAAAAUAAUGUGGAUAAGUUAUGAGAAUAACAUCUGCCAGUGAGUUUUUAAAUCACGGCUACAAUGGUGGAUAACAAUUGUAUUAUUGAAGGAAAUGUCAAAUUUCGCGAUGGAAAAAAAUGGAAAUCACGAUGGUGCGUUAUGCGGAAAUUGUCUCCAGUGGCAGAUUGUUUACACCUGCAACUUUAUGGAGACAGCAAAGACAGAUACAAACAAGGACAAACAAAAGCAUCCUUGAGUUUACAACAUUUUUUAGGAAUAGAAAGUGGAUUUACACUUGAUAAAGAGUCUAAUACAAUAGCAAUUAUUUGUCAAGAUUUGAUAGUUGUGCUUGCUUUUGAUACCAGAGAGCGUUUGAUACAAUGGCAGGUCAAAAUUUCAAAUAAUUUGGGCGAAGAUCAACAAUUUUUGAUAAUAAUAUCAUCAGCACCCUCAAAAGCCAAAGUAUCUAACGGACCAGCCCACUUACACAUUCAAGACCGUCGGUUCUGUUUGACAGUCGGUGUGCCGCCACGGCUGGUUGGCGUUUGGGAACUGGCGCAUCUACGUCGUUACGGUGUCGUCGAGGGACGUUUCUGUUUCGAGGGUGGCUCACGGUGCGGCCGUGGUGAAGGUCUGCACGUGCUAAUAACAGAUCAGGGUGAGGAUAUAGUACGUACACUACAACUGGCAGCCGAGGGUAAAUUGGCAACACGUAAACGCCCUCUGAAUUCACAAUUAUCGUUGCAAGACAGUCCAACGCGACGUCAAUUCAUCCGUUCAGACACACGUGCCAGUGAUUUUUUUCCCUCAAAUAUUUCUUACACAUCAUCUGUGACGUACAAAGAUCAUGAGGGCACAAAAACUGAAACAACAUCACCCUGCUGGUCUUCUACUGAAAGUAGACAUGUUGAAUUAGACGCCGUUGAUUAUAGUACUAACAGCUGCCGUGAUGCCGUUGGAUCAACUCAGGAACUAGCGGAUCACCAUCAUCACAAUCAAAAUAAUCAUUAUCAUCAUCAUCAUCAUCAUCAUCAUCAGCAUCAGCAGCAGCAACAAAAUCAACAACAGAGUAAUCAAAUAACAGAGUGGAGAAAUGGUUCUCUACCACGACAAAAUUCAUCUGGUUUAGAGAGAUGCGCCAGCUGCAUAAGUAAAUUAGGCGCAAUAUCGAAAAGUUCUGUUGUAACAUUAACUAAUACUACAAAUAAUACGACCUCUACUAUCACAAAUACAACCAGCAGUAGUACCAUAUUAAACCAUACAAACACAAGUUCUAGUCCUGCUGCUUCUGGCGGUAAUAAUAAUCUUAAUCUAAAUAAUAAUACCACGUGCCAUUCACAACAGCCACGCGCCUUCGACAGAUUAUCCUUAUCAUCUUACAGCAGCUCGAGCCAUGACAGUGAUUAUUCUGGUUCACAGAAUGCCGACUCGGUCUGUUUAUCAUCUUCAAAAAAUUCUCCUUGUUUACCAUCAAAAGACUCGAGUUGUUUGCAAGUUAAAAAUUCACCUGAUCAGCUUGAUCAACUUGAUCAACUUGAUCAACUUGAUCAACUUAAUCAACUUAAUCAACUUGAUCAACCUCAACAAAUUCAAGAAAAACAAAUUACUCAAUCACAACAAGAGUCUCAUAAAAUAUGUUCAUCACCAAGCCCGACGGGUCUGCCACCGCGACCAUUAAAACCACCCGCAAAAAGUAAAAAACCUCCUAUGCCACUACCAAAUGAACGGUGUACAUGUAAACAAAAAUCUGGUAUGUCAACACGUACUAAAUCAAGUCCUUACGACAACUACGACAUUCCAAAGACUAUUUUAGCUCACCAUAUGUCGUUAGAACCAGCGACAAAUCAAGGAGAUCAGUACUACGAUACACCACGUAAAAUAAAAGAAUGUCUGGCAUUACCAAAAAAUUAUCCAAAUUAUGAUACACCUCAUUCAGCACCACAAGCAGUUAUGUUACAACACUGCGGAUGUCCUGCUAAAUUGCAAACAUCUACAUCGUCAACAUCUACAUCAUCAUCGUUAUCAUCAUCAAGAAUUGGUUGUCCAUGUCACAAUGUAAUGAGCUGGGCCGGAUUUGUAUUACCUUAUUGUCGACGUGGAGCUGGUAUUGAACCAACUGGAGUUUCUGUGCAUCCAAUUAAAUUGUCGGGUGAAGGUAAAAUGCCAGUUGUCAAUGCCAAUGGUGAAUUGGCUAUUUAUCCAAGUGGUUUAAAAAAUAAUAAAUCUGAUGAUUUUUCAAUUAUUUCUAGUAUUAGUACUAGUACUAGUAUUAAUAAUAUACUGACAUCAUCAGAGAAAGCUAAUAAUUAUGAAAAUAUUGAACCAAUUGUUAUUGAUACACAGCCAGAAUCAAAACGUAAUUACGUAAAUAUCGAUUUUACCGAGUCGCUUGAGUAUUACGAAAAUAGCCGGGAUUUGAUUGCUAGAACAGGAAUUUCACAAGAGGAAAUUGCUAAAAUAGCUGAGGGUUUUAAAGACACAAGUAAUAAUGAAGAUGAAAUAAUUAAUGACUCUAUUAAUAAUGAUAAAUCAGGUGAUAAUAAUAAAUUGGAACAGGAGCAAGUUAUAGAGGAUAAAGUAUGUAAUAAAUGUGGGCAUGUAAAAGAUAAUAAUAAUAGUAUGAAUUAUUUAAUAAUGAAUCCAGAUAAUAAUAAUAAACAAUUUAAAAAAUCAUUUCCUGGUUAUUUACCAAUGCAACCGUCUGCACAUAAUGCUUGUUCUAAAGAAGUUAUCUCCCGUAUUUGUGGAACUAAAAGCUCUAGUAAUCCAGCAUUAUUUGCUUCAUCCUCAUCUUCAUUAUCCUCGUCAUUUAUUGAAGUUGGAAGAAAACGAUCUGAUUCAGAAUUACGUAUUCCUGGAUCAGCAAUGUUAUCAAGUCCAUACUUACGUCGACGUUUAAUCGAUCCAUUACAAUUACCGUAUAAUCAACAACAACAUCAACAACAACAACAUCAACAACAACAACAUCAACAACAACAUCAACACGGUGAAACAAGUAGUUUAGAGAUGUUGUGGAGAAAGCGAUCUUAUUCUGCUGAGUCAUCUCACUAUUUAGAAGAUUCUAGUCCAAGUCUUGGAUUUUCAUCGUCAACAAUACACAAGUGUCCAAGCGAAAGUAGUGAAAAAUCACUUAUAAUAAAUAAUAAUCUUACAAAAGAUCAGACAAUGACGAUAGCUUGUUCAGAUUUAAAAGUUAAUCGUGACUGCGAUGAAUCUGUCAACGGACAAGCAUUUUCAUCUAUUAAAAUACGUCGAUCUUCAUCAGUGCCAUCUAAAACUGGACAUAAUCGUGAUUCAUCAAGUAGCAAUGAUUCGGGAGUAUCAACUGGUUCGUUGAGUCAUCGAAAUACUGAAUUUGUUGAAUUUGAAUUAACUUGUACUCCAGUUAGUUUGUCCUCGAGAAAACAAAAUAUCCUUUCAGUUUGCCGUAAAAGCCCACCGCCAAUUUGUUAUCACGGAAGUUUGCCAAGAAAAUCAAAGUCUAGUGAUCCAUUGAGAGAAUUGUCAUUUCAAUUUCAAAAAAUUAAAAUACCAACAAAAUCAUCUUCCGCGGAAGGUGAUAUACCAGCUUGUGGACCCAAAGGAAGUAACAAAGGAUACAGUAGUCCUGGUGAAAAUUCAAGUACUCCUUAUAUUGAUUCAAGAAGUACAAGUAGUGGGACUUCAGAUAUGUCUGAUUACAUUGAAACCCUAUCGCUCUCUUCACACUCGUCUUCUGAUACUCCUGAUAGUUUGAGACUUGGUGGAAGAGCUGUGACAACAACACUGCGUCCGCGGAGCGGCAAAGAGUAUUAUAAAAUAGACAGAAGCAUUUUAGCGGAACAAGGUCGUAAUUCAGUAACAUCGGGAUCCAGUUAUGCAAACAUAACACCAGUUUUAGAGAAAAGCGAAUCACCCUCCCCGGGUUACAUCAGUAGUUCGCCAUUUGAACAACCGGCACCCUCACGGGAACAUUUUAUUUUCUCCGAGGAAGCUUGAAGCAUUAUUUAUUGAAAUUGAAAAGUAAGCUACGGCGUUUACGACUAUUUAUACUAUACGCGGAUAUUCUGGUGAUUACUGACAUUUAUUGAAACAUCUAUUGUUAAAUUUUCUAACAAAUAAGCCGAGGGUUCACGUACUUGAAAAAUUUUUAGUCCAUAAAAAAGAAAAAAAAAAGGAAUAGCCGAUUAGUGACAUUUAAAUUAAAAAUUCACUGAAAUGAAAAUGAAUUUUCGUGAUUUAAAACAAACGAUAGUAGCAAAUUGCUAACUGAAACAUACAUUAUCAAUUAAAAGGCUUGAUAUUAAAAAUAAAAAAACCAAUUUAUUAAUGCAUAAAAUGCGUUGAUAAAUUAAAAAAAAAGUCAGCGUUCUCGCAUCAUAAUAAAAGCUAUAAGAGCUUCGAUCUAUAAUCCCCAAUCACGUAAUAGCAAGGAACAAAUUUAUAUAAAUAUUUAAAUCGAUACUUAAUCUUACUCCUUAUCUUAGCUAUUUAAAUAAAUAAAUAAAUCAAUCAAUUUCAAGCAACGAAAACUUGAUACCGCAAUGUACCGUGGCAUUAAUUCAUUCCUAUAGAAAUAUCUAUAUUGUUUUUUAAGCUAUUGCUUGCUCUGUUUUUUAUUUUUCUUUUUCUAUAUUAUUAAUUCUACAUGUGUUUUA